UACGUAGGGUGCGAGCGUUAAUCGGAAUUACUGGGCGUAAAGCGUGCGCAGGCGGUUCGUUGUGUCGGUGGUGAAAGCCCCGGGCUUAACCUGGGAAUGGCCAUGGAAACUGGCGAACUGGAGUGUGGCAGAGGGGGGUGGAAUUCCGCGUGUAGCAGUGAAAUGCGUAGAGAUGCGGAGGAACACCGAUGGCGAAGGCAGCCCCCUGGGCUAUCACUGACGCUCAGGCACGAAAGCGUGGGGAGCAAACAGG
rnacentral:rRNA from 1 species